AUGGAUUCUUCCGCCAGUAUUUUUUAUAUAUUCCAAAACUAUUCUUCGUUGAUUUUCAGGUCAUUCCGAGAACUUUUAUUUCUGCACAAAAAUAACACCACGGCAAUUCUGCUGAAAACAACGUCAGUCCGGGUUAGUUCAAUUCAAAUCAUGGAAUUUAGAGUCCAAAACAAGGGCAAAAGUGUUUGGAAAAGUAGAUACGAUGGAGACGUAUCAACUCCCCCAAGCUUAAACCUUUGCUUGUCCUCAAGGAAUUCAGUUGAUAAACUAAAAGUGAUAAAGAAAAACUUUUACAAACUCUAUUUGCUCUUAUUGUUGUAA
rnacentral:rRNA from 1 species